rnacentral:lncRNA from 1 species
GUCUACUUUUUGAGAGGAGGGAUUGAGCAAACUGUUCACUCACUAUGCACUUCCCAUCAAAACGGCAGGCUUCAGUUCUCUGUGCUCUCUGAGAGAAUAUAACCAUGUAGAAAGUCUAGUCUGUAUGUGGAAUAUCUGUUAGGAAGAAAUUCUACUUGGAAAGCUUGUCUGCUCUAUUAACCCAUCCCUGUUGCUCCCUUGAAAGAGGAGGGCCUUCACUGUCCACUGUAAGAUGAAGGUCUUCUGUGGCUCUGACGGCUUAUGUUUAGAGACCUUUCUUCAGUGUCCCCAAGGUUCUCGGAUUCCCCUUUCCCAUCAAUGAGCAUAUGCUACAGCCAUCAGAGAACUGAUGACCAGAAUUUCAUUUCUCUGAAGUUUGAUGAACAAUCAAUAAUACAGGUUCUGACAGUGAACCACUAGAGUAGCAUAUGCUAAAGGUUGUGCCUCCUCUUCACAUGCUCUGACUUUAUGUUCAUCGUGCUCAACAGUUAUGGAAACCUAAAUUCUAUUUUAUGUGCUUGUGUUCAUGGCUACAUUCAUAACAGAGAUAGUAGAAAUAACCCAAGUGUUCACAGAAGGAGAGAAGCAGAACAUGGUGCAUACAGUUUAGGGUUGGUCAGCUUUACCUUUAUUCUGAUGCAGGCUGCAACAUGGACCAAGCUGAAGGACAUGGCUGCAUGGAAUAAUUCCAAUGAAAAGUGUUAAACAUCGCCCGCAUUGCUGCAUCCAUGCAUAAGUCAAAGAUGCCACGAAUAUAAAAAACAUCUAGGAUAGGUAAAUGCAUAGAGACAGAAAGACAGGAUCUGUGGGCUACAGAAAUGCAGAGUUAGUGUCUAAUUUGUGCAGAGUUUCCACUGGGAGAGACAAAAGUGUUCAGGAGAUCUAUUGUGCUUGUUGUACAGAAAUGUGAAUGUACAGAAUCCUACUGUGCAAUACUCAAAACAGCCCAGUGUUUUAUGUUAUCUUUAGAUAUAACUAUGGAAAAAAAAAACCAAACUGCCAUGCUAACAGGUCACAUAAGGAGGAAUAUACAAUGUUUAUCUAAGGAAGAGUAAGCAUAUCCACUCAGCUGGAGGACACAGGGCAAAGUGGUAGAGGAAACGAGGCGAGAAAGUUAGGUUGGGUGCAUUAUAGAGACUGGAACUUUGAAGGUUGGUGGGUCCUACACAGAAUCUGUAGAAAGAGGAGGCAUUAAUCCAGAUCAGCCAGCUCCUUACACAUAAGAACAACCUGGAAGAUGGAUUGCACGAUCAAUGGAGAGUGGUGUGUUAAGGGAUCAUGACUCUUUCUCAUUGGCUUCUCUCUAGGUCUCCCACUCUGUUUCCUGGUAUGAAAGCCACACAUCAUAUCAAGUGAAUUCAGUUUCACAAACCUUCCUUUAAAAUGGGGAUUCUCAAGAAGCUAAAAUGCAUACAAGUCACCCGGGUAGCCUGUUAAAUUCCAGAUUUUUAUUUGGUGUUGGCCCUGGCUUCUGCAUUUCUGAAUGUCAAAGACACUGCUGUGACUCCCUGGAGGGCGGUUUGGAUUGUCAGGCUCUAAGGUCCUAGAUUCUCAGCAACCAUUUCACCACUGUAACUCUUUAUAAACUGUUGAGGAGAUGUCACAGUGGCAGACUGAGCUCCUCGGGCACGCAGUCAUUCCUACUGUUCCCACAACCAAAGCCCUGCCUCCCAGGCCAAGAUCACCAUUAGGGUUCCAUGUUGCAAAAAUGAACUUGGCUUUUUUGGAAUGGACUACAGUGUGGCGAGCUUGAUGAUAGGGGCUGUACUACAGGAUAGAUGCAGCAAAGGUCCUCGAUGAGUAGUAACAUGCAUGUGUAUAGCACGGUAUUCAUGGACUAAGUGAGACACACCUGAUGUUUGGUGGGAUUCAUCUGAGAUCUGUUACAAUUUCAAAAAAAAACCAAAUUAGCUAGUACAAAUGAAGUUAAUGAGCCUCUACCACCUGCUUAUUCCACCUUAGGCUACAGGUACUCUGUGAGCAGGCUUGGAUCAAUUAGUCAAUGUAAUUGAAGCCAAAUGUAAUUAAUUAUAU